ensembl:lncRNA
CCUGCAUUGUGGGCAGAUUCUUUAUUAAUUGACCUACCAGGGAAGCCCAUUUACAAUACUGUGCAACCAUUCAGUUCAGUUCAGUAGCUCAGUCGUAUACAACUUCUUGCGACCCCAUGGACUGCAGCAAGCCAGGCCUCCCUGUCCAUCACCAACUCCCAAAGAUUGCUCAAACUCAUGUCUCUGUAGGGAUAAUAGUAGUACCUACCCCCAGGGUUAUUGUAAGGAUUAAUGCAUUCAUAUGUAUAAAGUGUAUAAGGAAGUACUAUCCACUUCCUGUGAAUAACACUCUGGGAUUAUUAUCUCCCUGGAGACCUUAGUGCAUACAUGAGUGAUAUUUGAGUGUGUACGUGUCGCAGGCAGUGUGGGAGCACUGAAGGAUGAGGGAUGGGUGAGGCAGCAGCAGAUACUGGGAAAACACCGUGUGGAAAGCUGAAGAUUGGUGAUCUUCCGCUGUUGCUGACAUGCUUUGGGGCCUUCAGGUGUUACCUCUCUGAGCCUUUGUUUUCUCACCUGUGAAAUGAGAACAUUUCACCAGAUGAAAUCUAAGGUCUGCUUCACAUUUAACAUUCUAUAUCUGUCUCUAACAGGUUUGAAAGGUGCCAGGACUUUUUAAGGGAACUGAAGAAAUCAAAUUAGCAGGUAAAAUUUACCAGCUGGUGAUCCCUGGUUAUUUUCUGAUCUGCUUGGCCAGAUGGCACUUUCAGUGAUAAAACUGCACAACACAAAGAGGUUUCACUUUGCUCUGUAUCUUCUCUGCACCAUUUCUCAAAUAACAUGUCUACUCUGCAGACUUUUUUUCUGAACCCAGAAGCUUAGGCAUUCAGUGAUGAAACCUGAUGAGGGAAGCUCUUAGGCUCUGAUUACCUUGGAGACAUCAUCUAGUUGCUGUUUGAUUAGACAUUCAAAUAAAAUCAUAUGCAUUCCUAUUGGAUACUCACUUUGAUUACAAACAUUUAAAAAUUCACUGAUAUUAUUGUUGUUACUACUACAUUAUAAUUGUUGUAUUGAUAAUGAAUAUUGUGUAGAAUACUUCUACACCACUGACUCAUUGGAAAAGAUACUGAUGCUGGGAAAGAUUGAGGGCCAGAGGAAAAGAGGGUGACAGAGGAUGAGAUGGUUGGAUGGCAUCAUUGACUCAGUGGACAUAAGUUUGAGCAAACUCUGAGAGAGAAUGAAGGACAGGGAAGCCUGGCAUGCUGCAGUCCACUGGGGUCACAAAGAGUUGGACAGGACUGAGUGAUCGACAACAACAAGAAUACUUCCACAUUUCCAUUCACAAAGCAUCUCUUAAAAGAGUAAUUUAUUUGAUAUAUGUUAUUGUCCUUCAGGGACGUGUAGGACUGUAGAUAAGAGAAUAUGCUUCAGAGUUUUACCAAACUGGGUCAGAAUCCCAGCUCUGCCCUUAGAUUCAGUUAAUCUCAAUGUCCUUAUCUAUAAAAUGGUGAUAAUAAUACCCAAGUUAUACAGUUGUGGGUGGAUUUGGAGACAUAAUACAAAGAGCCUAGUUCAGUGCUUGGUACAUAAAAUAUUCAAUAAAUGAAGUGAAGUGAAGUGAAGUGAAG